CGAAAAGUACUAUCAAUUAAAUAAAAUGGUGAAACAAAAGAAUAGCGAAGAGAAGCAAAUGCGCUUCAACGCUAAUUCCAAGUACCAACACAAAACAAAUUCAAUGUUUGGUGAAGCAACUUGCUUAGUGGCGGACGGGUGAGUAACGCGUGAACAAUCUGCCCCGUACAAAGGGAUAGCCUCGGGAAACCGGGAUUAAAACCAUAUAACACUUAACUGCCGCAUGGUAGUGAAGUCAAAUCGAGUAAGAGGUAUGGGAUGAGUUCGCGUCUGAUUAGCUAGUUGGUGAGGUAAGGGCUCACCAAGGCGACGAUCAGUAGCCGGCCUGAGAGGGUGAACGGCCACACUGGAACUGAGACACGGUCCAGACUCCUACGGGAGGCAGCAGUGGGGAAUAUUGCACAAUGGAGGGAACUCUGAUGCAGCGACGCCGCGUGAGUGAAGAAGGUCUUCGGAUCGUAAAACUCUGUCCUUGGUGAAGAAAAGGACGGUAGCCAAGGAGGAAGCCCCGGCUAACUACGUG
rnacentral:rRNA from 1 species